UACAGAGGGUGCAAGCGUUAAUCGGAAUUACUGGGCGUAAAGCGUGCGUAGACGGUUAUGUAAGUCAGAUGUGAAAGCCCCGGGCUUAACCUGGGAAUGGCAUUUGAGACUGCAUAGCUAGGGUGCGGAAGAGGGAAGCGGAAUUUCCGGUGUAGCGGUGAAAUGCGUAGAUAUCCGGAGGAACACCGGUGGCGAAGGCGGCUUCCUGGACCGACACUGACGCUGAGGCGCGAAAGCUAGGGGAGCAAACGGG
rnacentral:rRNA from 1 species